rnacentral:rRNA from 1 species
GUGUCAGCAGCCGCGGUAAUACGGAGGGUGCAAGCGUUGUUCGGAAUCACUGGGCGUAAAGGGCGCGUAGGCGGCUUGGGAAGUCCGAUGUGAAAGCCCGGGGCUCAACCCCGGAAGUGCAUUGGAAACUCCUAGGCUUGAGUUCGGGAGAGGAAGGCAGAAUUCCCGGUGUAGGGUUGAAAUCCGUAGAUAUCGGGAGGAAAACCGGUGGCGAAGGCGGCCUUCUGGAACGAAACUGACGCUGAGGCGCGAAAGCGUGGGGAGCAAACAGGAUUAGAAACCCGCGUAGUCC